GUUUCAGGAAAAGAAUGCAGUCGAUUGAUCACUAGAGAUAGACAUUAUAUGUCGAGAAUGCUUUCAUAUUGAUCCUCACACCUAUGAAGCUGUUUCUUGGGAGGAGGACAGAAAAUUUAAAGACUACUUCCUGUAAAAAAAAGUAUGCUAGGUAAUAGGACUACACUCGACCACUGGACCCUGUGAGAAAGAAGAAGAAGAAGGAAACAGAAUGCGUUUCAUUGUACAUAUACUCAAUAAAUAUUAGUAGGCACUCUC